rnacentral:rRNA from 1 species
GACGAACCGUGCAAACGUUGUUCGGAAUCACUGGGCUUAAAGGGCGCGUAGGCGGCGCAACAAGUCACUUGUGAAAUCUCCGGGCUUAACCCGGAGCGGUCAAGUGAUACUGUCGUGCUAGAGUGCGGAAGGGGCUACUGGAAUUCUCGGUGUAGCGGUGAAAUGCGUAGAUAUCGAGAGGAACACCUGCGGCGAAGGCGGGUAGCUGGGCCGACACUGACGCUGAUGCGCGAAAGCGUGGGGGAGCAAACAGG